GAUAGCUGGUUCUCCCCGAAAUAUAUUGAGGUAUAGCCUCACCCGAACACCGCCGGAGGUAGAGCACUGAAUGGGCUAGGGGUCCUACCAGAUUACCGAACCCAAUCAAACUCCGAAUACCGGUGAGUGCUAGGUGGGAGUCAGACUGCGGGCGAUAAGGUCCGUGGUCGAGAGGGAAACAACCCAGACCGCCGGCUAAGGUCCCUAAGUGCAUGCUAAGUGGGAAAGGAAGUGGAAGCGCUCAGACAACCAGGAUGUUGGCUUAGAAGUAGCCAUCAUUUAAAAAGUGCGUAA
rnacentral:rRNA from 1 species